UGUACCGCGCAAAAGAAGAAAAAGAAAUCGAAGAAGAACGCAGACUUUUAUAUGUCGGAAUGACAAGAGCCAAAGAACGUUUGUUUCUAACUCAUGCGGUAAA
rnacentral:sRNA from 1 species